GACGAACGCUGGCGGCGUGCUUAACACAUGCAAGUCGAACGGAAAGGCCCUGCUUUUGUGGGGUGCUCGAGUGGCGAACGGGUGAGUAACACGUGAGUAACCUGCCCUUGACUUUGGGAUAACUUCAGGAAACUGGGGCUAAUACCGGAUAGGAGCUCCUGCUGCAUGGUGGGGGUUGGAAAGUUUCGGCGGUUGGGGAUGGACUCGCGGCUUAUCAGCUUGUUGGUGGGGUAGUGGCUUACCAAGGCUUUGACGGGUAGCCGGCCUGAGAGGGUGACCGGCCACAUGGGGACUGAGAUACGGCGCAGACUCCUACGGGAGGCAGCAGGGGGGAAUAUUGCACAAUGGGCGGAAGCCUGAGGCAGCAACGCCGCGUGCGGGAUGACGGCCUUCGGGUUGUAAACCGCUUUCGCCUGUGACGAAGCGUGAGUGACGGUAAUGGGUAAAGAAGCACCGGCUAACUACGUG
rnacentral:rRNA from 1 species